rnacentral:rRNA from 1 species
GACGUAGGGCGCGAGCGUUGUCCGGAUUUAUUGGGCGUAAAGAGCUCGUAGGCGGCUUGUCGCGUCGUUCGUGAAAACCCGGGGCUCAACUCCGGGCUUGCGGGCGAUACGGGCAGGCUGGAGUACUGCAGGGGAGACUGGAAUUCCUGGUGUAGCGGUGGAAUGCGCAGAUAUCAGGAGGAACACCGGUGGCGAAGGCGGGUCUCUGGGCAGUAACUGACGCUGAGGAGCGAAAGCGUGGGGAGCGAACAGG